CUCGUCCACAAUUUAAGUGGACUUUUGUCCACUGUUGAGGAGAGAUACCAAGAUAUUUAAGUUGCUUCCCUCAUUGGCUCUCGGUUGCAUGAUUCUUUGUGGUUCAACUUUGUGCCUCUUGCUCUAGCAUUAUAAAAACCUUUUGCUAGUUUUCUGAAACAAAAACUACUCAAUCUUCUGAAAGAGUGGGGAGCUGGACAUUAAACCAUUAAAGACUUGAUAUUUACUUCCCUUGCAUUCAAUUAAGUGAAUUUCUUAAGAGUCUGCUGUUUAUUUUUAUAUAUUUUUAAAUUUUUUUCCCUUUUACAAUGAGUUGUAGCAUCUGCUCUGUGCUAUUACUUGAUCAAAUAAGAUUCUAGUCCCUGCCUUGGUUUCCUUGUAUAUGCUGCCAGCUGCUUCAACCUGUUUUCUCGACGUUGCUAUCACAAAUUUUCCUUGGAAGCCACAUUUAUUUGGGAGGGUCGGGAGUUGUGAGUAUUGUGACAGUGAAAUUCUUGAAGGUGUAACUCCACAGUUUUCAUUGAAAUUCUACUUGUCAGGUAAGCAAUGGCUUGUCUUAACUUGUUAUUGAAGAAAUUGAAAAUGUUUGAAGCCUUGUCGGCUUAUAUAAUUGUGGUCUGGUCGGCUUAUAUGAUUGAUUAUUAGAGGAUCAACAAUUGCACAGGCGCACAUAAUAACUAUAUUGAAAACUCUAACUGUGUGAUGAUUUGAGAUAUUUUGUAAUUAUUUUUUAGUUUACUCAUUGGGCUUCAGAUAUAGACUCAUACACCAUGCCUCCUAAAUAUGAGUCUGGUGCUCAAAAGAGAAAAAAGAAACGAAAUGAAAUUUCAUUAAUUCAAAGUCAAGUUGGGGAUAUUGACAAGUACUUUAAAAGCAAAAAUGUGAAUACGUUGAAUGAGUAUAAAGUAGAGAUUCAACCUGCAUGUGUUAACGAAGUAGAUGAUAAAGAUGAAGAAGUGAGUGAACCUGCCUACGUUAAUGUAGUAGAUGAUAAGGAAGAAGAGGUGAUGAAACCUGCAUGUGUUAAUGAAGUAGAUGUCAAGGAAGAAGAGAGUUGAUUUUCUCUAAAUUUGGAUGAUCCCGGGAAUUGGAAAAUCAUUGAUCAAAGAACAAGGGAUUACUUAGUUGAAAGGAGUCCAAAAAGAGUUGAUGACGUCUCGUUUCCGAAAGAUUGUACAAAUAGGCAUUUUGAUUUUUCACAAUAUAAGUGAUUGCUACGAAAUGGGCAAACAAUUGAUAGAAGAUGGCUAGUAUAUUCAAUAUCUAUGGACAUGAUCUUUUGCUUUUGUUGCAAGUUGUUUAAAAC